rnacentral:rRNA from 1 species
AUUGAACGCUGGCGGCAGGCCUAACACAUGCAAGUCGAACGGUAACAGGAAGCAGCUUGCUGCUUUGCUGACGAGUGGCGGACGGGUGAGUAAUGUCUGGGAAACUGCCUGAUGGAGGGGGAUAACUACUGGAAACGGUGGCUAAUACCGCAUAACGUCGCAAGACCAAAGAGGGGGACCUUCGGGCCUCUUGCCAUCAGAUGUGCCCAGAUGGGAUUAGCUAGUUGGUGAGGUAACGGCUCACCAAGGCGACGAUCCCUAGCUGGUCUGAGAGGAUGACCAGCCACACUGGAACUGAGACACGGUCCAGACUC